ACGUUCCUGCCUCCUGCGGAUCCUGGCCUCCCUUCUCCGGACCUCGGGCUCCACAGGCCUGUCCUCAGUCCUCUGCGUCCUCCAGGCACCCGUGGGACUCACUCGUCCACACCGUGCCUUCAGCCAUCGUUCCCUCCAGGCCCCAGCGACUGAUCUUAAGAGGAUAGAAGAUCAAUUUUCCCUCUCCUACGAUCCCGGGUGUGGACCUAAUUGUGAAAAGGGCGGGAGGUGGGUCAGCAGGCUUUGCUCCACCCUAGGGGCAUAUCUUGCAGUUGGUUCAACUCCUGAAUGUCACUGCUUUAUCCAACUCAGCAGCCUCAGCCACGGUGCCCGACGAAUGGCCAAAGACAAGAAACCAACCACACAAAGAGCGCAGUGCACGCUUGGCGUCACCUCAUCUUGACUUUCAAGUGGCUUUAUGUGCUCUGUGAAAUGUUAAUCCUCGAGGGUGAAAUCCAAGCCGGUUUAUCCUCGGGGCUACCAGUGCCAGUGGUGAUGCUGAGCAUCGAGGCACGAAACUUCUUCUCCUAAAACACAAGGGAUCUUUUCAACACACUCACCGUUGCAGCACAAAAAGCCAUUCUUGUGUCAGAUCAACAGAGGGAACUGGUCCAAGUGCAAAGACAAUUUGAGGCUUAUGUUCUGUUUCCUGUGUCCUGUUUCCUUCCCCGGGGGAAGACCACCGGUCGGACACAGCAGGGACCCCGAAGGUCCAGGUUUCUGCAACUCGAGUUCUUAUUCGGCAGGUCCUGUGGCGGGGCUGGGAACCCACAGGCGUCCCCAGUGAGGGGGUGGGUGGUCCUGAUGCCGAGGCCUGAGGGCCGCCCACAUUCCAGAAACACCCCCAGGCUGCACCUGCCAGGAUUCAAGAGCAGACAACGUUAGAACUACCAGGAGCCCGAGGCCAGACAUGGCCGUCAAGGAGUAAAUAUAUUCACAAUUUCCAGGGUUGGGCCCACGCAGACUUUGCCUGGCCCACGUCCGCGCAAGCAGAGGGGUAUUUCCCAACAGCGAACGUGCCUGUGGCUUCCUGAACUGUACUUUGAAAUAGAACAUUAAGAGAUAGUCAUUACUUAUGCAAUUAAUAAUUCCACAGUUGGCAUUUAACACAAUUAACAAGGAAUAAUUAGCGUAAUUUUUACUAUGCAAUGCUAAUUUAAAAGGAUCUCUUACAGCUCACGGGGUGGGGCCAGGCUGCUCAGACCUCUGUGGGAGGCCUGGCUGGUGCCUGCGUCACUACGCUUUUCCUCUCCUGGGUCCCGGGUCCCCAUGCGAUCGAUAAUCUCAUCGUAAAGAACAGAGACAACCGCUGUGUCUAGAUAUACUCCGCUGCUUAGGGACCUGUUCUUUAUUAAAUCUGCUAAAUACAAAAUACAUGCGAAUCCAAGCCCUCACACUUUACUUUCCUUGGAGAAUUCUGGUAUUUUCAUUAGGAAAUACCAUCCUGCGUAACCAUAUAUUUUUUAAUUUUUUGGAACUCAUGCAUUUUAAAAUAUAUAUAUAUAUAUAUAUA